UACAUCCUACGGGGGGCAGCAGUGAGGAAUAUUGGUCAAUGGGCGGAAGCCUGAACCAGCCACGUCGCGUGAGGGAAGACGGUUCUAUGGAUUGUAAACCUCUUUUGUCGGGGAGCAAAAGACGCCACGCGUGGCGUUCCGAGAGUACCCGAAGAAAAAGCAUCGGCUAACUCCGUGCCAGCAGCCGCGGUGAUACGGAGGAUGCGAGCGUUAUCCGGAUUUAUUGGGUUUAAAGGGUGCGCAGGCGGAAGAUCAAGUCAGCGGUAAAAUUGAGAGGCUCAACCUCUUCGAGCCGUUGAAACUGG
rnacentral:rRNA from 1 species